rnacentral:tRNA from 1 species
GGGGCUGUGGCCUAGUCCGGCAUGGCGACGGGCUCCAGCGGAAAAAACCGGAUAUGAUCCGGGUGUUAUGAUGAGCAACGGGUCUACCGAGCGAACCGGACGCGGUAAGCAAUGAGGAACCGUUGGAGCACUGAACGUGCUGCUCAAAGAUUUAAUCGCCUAAAACCUGGCGUUUUCGGAGAGACCCGUCGAUCGUGAGUUCAAAUCUCACCAGCCCCA